rnacentral:rRNA from 1 species
UAGUCUGCAACCCGACUACAUNAAGCUGGAAUCGCUAGUAAUCGCGGAUCAGAAUGCCGCGGUGAAUACGUUCCCGGGUCUUGUACACACCGCCCGUCACACCAUGGGAGUCGGAAAUGCCCGAAGUCUGUGACCCAACCAUUAAGGAGGGAGCAGCCGAAGGCAGGUCGGAUGACUGGGGUGAAGUCGUAACAAGGUACC